rnacentral:antisense_RNA from 5 species
CUUGAGCGAGCCGAGCCACAGCGGACGGUCCUCGUCCCGGUCCUGGCCGUAGGCCGCGAUCAGGGCCUGCGCCUC